rnacentral:tRNA from 1 species
UGUAGCUCAGUGGUAGAGCACCUGCCUAGUAGGACCUGGGUUCGAUCCCCAGCA